rnacentral:rRNA from 1 species
UACGGAGGGUGCAAGCGUUGUCCGGAUUUAUUGGGUUUAAAGGGUGCGUAGGCGGGCUAUUAAGUCAGUGGUGAAAGCCGGCAGCUCAACUGUCGAACUGCCAUUGAUACUGAUAGCCUUGAGUACAGAUGAGGUGGGCGGAAUUUAUGGUGUAGCGGUGAAAUGCAUAGAUACCAUAAAGAACACCGAUAGCGAAGGCAGCUCACUAAACUGUAACUGACGCUGAGGCACGAAAGCAUGGGGAUCGAAC